UCAGACGAUGCGUCAUGCAUAUCAAUAAGCGGAGGAAAAGAAACUAACAAGGAUUCCCCUAGUAACGGCGAGUGAAGCGGGAAGAGCUCAAAUUUGAAAUCUUAAAGGGUUUCCCUUUACGAAUUGUAGUUUAAAGAAGUGUUUUCUGUUGAGGUUUUGGUAAAAGUUCUUUGGAAUAGGACAUCAUAGAGGGUGAGAAUCCCGUAUUUGACCUUUACUUUCAACUUUGUGAUACACUUUCAAAGAGUCGGAUUGUUUGGGAAUGCAGUCCAAAAUGGGUGGUAAAUUUCAUCUAAAGCUAAAUAUUGGCGAGAGACCGAUAGCGAACAAGUACCGUGAGGGAAAGAUGAAAAGAACUUUGAAAAGAGAGUUAAACAGUACGUGAAAUUGUCAAAAGGGAAGCAUUUGACACCAGUGUUGUUUUUCUGAAAAUCAAUUAAAGAACUGUUUAUGCUAAGUUGUUUAGACUUUAUCAGCUAUCUGUUUAGUUUUGAGCUUUUCUUUAAUGCACUUUUCAGUUAACAAGUCAACAUCAAUUUCUUUUGCUGUAAAAAAGCUUGAGGAAGGUGGCUUGAGAUUCGUCUUAAGUGUUUAUAGCCUCUUGCCUAUGCAGUCGGAGAGAUUGAGGUCUGCAGCGUAGAUCCUUCGGGGCUAAAUGCAUUUGUGCUAAGUUAUAGCAUUUUAUAGACAACUUGUUGACUAUGAUUUGUCUUGUAGCUUACUCGCUUAUGUUAUUUUACCUACGCUUAGGAUGUUGAAUCUGUGCGAGACUAC
rnacentral:rRNA from 1 species